rnacentral:rRNA from 1 species
CAGUAGCCACGGUAAUACGUAGGUGGCGAGCGUUGUCCGGAAUUAUUGGGCGUAAAGGGAGCGCAGGCGGACAUAUAAGUCCAUCUUAAAAGUGCGGGGCUCAACCCCGUGAGGGGAUGGAAACUGUAUGCCUUGAGUGCAGGAGAGGAAAGCGGAAUUCCCAGUGUAGCGGUGAAAUGCGUAGAUAUUGGGAGGAACACCAGUGGCGAAGGCGGCUUUCUGGACUGUAACUGACGCUGAGGCUCGAAAGCCAGGGGAGCGGACGGGAUUAGAGACCCGAGUAGUCCCUGUCUCUUAUACA